ACGAGCGAAAUCCACAGCGAGCGAGCGAGGCCACAGCGAUCGAGCCAGAGGAAAAAAGGCAUCGAACCCUAGCCCCAAUCCACAGCCCCGCGCCUCUCGCUCCUCCCUCCCUCGUCCGCCGCCACUCCCUCCCACCUCCUCCUCCUGCGCCUUAGGAGCCCCGCCGGCGACUGCUACUCCUCCACCGCCUCGCCUCUUCCUCCUCCUCGCCUUCCCAUCGCUCGUCUUCAGGCCGCAGCGGUGGUUCCCGAUCUGAGCCGUCUUCAGGUGCGUGGAGCGACGGAGGUCGGCUCCCUCCUUCUCCACGGUCGCGCGGCGGGAGAGGAGUCAGCCCCGGUGCUCUGCCUCUCCAUCCGUCUCCGCAAGCUAUCGUCCGAUGCCGUCGUUGCCCGCCAUCAUCUUCAUCUUGCUCGCUGCCUGCUUGCUAGAGAGCCAUGGCUUUCCUCGCUGUAGGUUCUGGCGUUCUGCCAUGGCUUUUCUUGUCCCGUCCCACUCGCCUCCCCCUCCUCGUCACCCUCCUCUCUCUCUCUCUCUUUCUCGCUCACUGCCAAGAAGCCGCCGGAGGAGGAACUCGACCUGGACGACCGCCGCUGGACGAAGAGCCCCGAAAAAAUCCCCCAACCACCCCUGCGCCACCGCCUCUUCACCUUCGACCACGGGUUGCAACGUACGGUCAGAGGACCAAGUUGGAACAUACUAGGCAAAUGGGCCUUGCCGUGAGUCGUGGUGCAACAGUGACCUCGAUGGGCAGGGCAAUGGUCAGAUACGAGUCAGCACCGAAGAUGACUGUAAGCACUCAAAAAAGUUUACCACGCUAGAGCUAUGUCAGGUUGUAUGAGGGCAGUUAAUGAAUAUACUUGUGACACUUAAACUCUCAGGCAAGCUUGCUGGUAGGAUCAAGUACUCUACCAGGUCUAGGGCGUAGGUGGUAAGGGAAGGAUGGAGGGAGACGUGGCGAGGAUCGGGCGCGCCGGCGGCAGGGCGCCGUCGCGGCUAGGAGAAGGGCGGCGGCUAGGGCUGUUGGCGGCUAGGGUUCCGGCUCCUCAGGGAGCCGGGCAAUAGGAGAUAAUAUUCUUCUUAUUGCUUGCCUUCAAAAAGAGUCUUACAACCUAUAUUUAUAUCCUAGAUAACUUGUAGAAGAAUCAACCUAAGAUAACUUGCCUAAGAUAACUUGCCUAAUCUGAAAAUAAAAACUAAGAUAACUUGCGGGCCUAAGCCGGCCGGCCAUAACACUUACUCUCAGGUAAAUUACUAAUCAUUCAAAUCACUAAUCAGGUAAAGCACAAUAAUAAGCCUACCAGUCAUAGAAGAGGAAAAAUAACCACGAAGUGAAAAUAGAUUGUGAAAAUUAGACAGCUCAGACGAUGUAAAAGACAGAAUCGGACGACCAGCGAGUUUUCAAUCUGGGGGAGCUCGGAGUAGCCGAGUUGCCCAGCCAGAUUAAUUUUUAUUGGGCAUUCAGAUUCUUAUUUUGCGUUUCGUAGAUUUUUAGCUGGGUGUAUAAACAUACACACACACACUGACUUCUGAUUUCAGUGACGGGGGUAAAUUAUUGUGCCAUAUAUAUUGUUGCCAUAUUUAGUAAUCAUGCAUAUACAUGUACAUUGGUUUUUAUCAAAUGUACAUGUGCUCCUGUAGCAUAUCUUCAGGUUUGGGGAUUUAAAUGCCCUUUGUUUUGUGUACCAGGUGGUUAACUGAGAUUUUGUUUGCUUAUUCUACUGUUUUUUUAGCAAUGCCAACAAACAUGGUUUAUGAUGAUAUUGGUGGUCUGAAGCUUUAGAUCGUCGGGGCUGCUCUCAUUUGUUCAAUUUGCCAGUGAUCCUUCCAUUCUACUGCUGCUCAUUAUUAUCAUAUGAAGGAGGUGUUCUUCCGUUACAAUACUCCUGACGUGUUCCAUGAAAUGUCUAUGAGCUGGUAUGUUGUUCAUUCUCUUUUUUUUCUUCUUGCAGGCUGAUCUAUGUUCUCUGUUUGUUGGGUCCUCCGUGUCAUUAUGAACAAGGAACAUGUAUAUCCUUUCAAGUUCACUGAUGCGGUUACCACUACAACACACGUCCCUCCAAGGACCAAGGGUGGGCAUGAUCUUCUACAAGGUUGUUGUCUGUGACUAUUAGUACGGGAUCAACUUUGCGGUGUCCCCAUCGCUUCAAGUCAAGCUAAUAGAGCUAAAUGGGUAUCCAAUUUUAGAAAGCACACUUAAGAAACAUGAACACGUGUCUUUAGAUCCUAUGGAGCAUUCCUAAUAAUGACCAUCUAUUUAACUAUCUUGGAUCAUUACCAUUACAAAAUGCAGCAUGGCAUUCAUAAUGUUCAGUUAUUCAUAAAUGUGGCAUUUAAUUAUUCUCCUGGCAUGAUAUUUAGGGCCAGUUCUUUUGGGCGAUUCUACCAGAAUCGCCCCCCUCCCCAGCUUCUCCCAGAAUAAGAACUGGCCCUUAAGCAUGUUGCAUAUACCAAUCUGUUGAUAAUUCAAUUAUUGAUUCUGAUGUACAAACAUGCAAAACCAUUGCCUGUUUGGAUGAUGCACAUGAGUAUGUUUUUGUUAGUUUUCGGUGAUGUACGUCGUGAAGCGGGACGGGCGGACGGAGACGGUGCACUUUGACAAGAUCACGGUGCGGCUCAAGAAGCUCAGCAAUGGGCUCAGCCAGGAGCACCGCGACCCCGUGCUCGGUCUGCGUCAGGGUAUACAUGGGCGUCACCACCAGCCAGCUCGACGAGCUCGCCGCCGAGACCGCCGCCGCGCUCACCGCCUCCCAGCCUGACUAUGCCUCCCUCGCGGCGAGGAUUGUUGUGUCCAACCUGCCGCCAAGUGGAAAUAGUUUGUGUGGCGCUCGUAAAUAGAGAGCAUUCUGGUAGAAAGCUGAAAGAUUAGCAGAGACUGGCUAAAUUCUGAACAUGUUCCAUGUGAGAGAAAUAGCAUGUUGAUUUCAUCUUGAAAUAAUCAUAGCUGAGGGACGAGCUUCGUAACUAAGGGUCAUGUGUAGAGCUGAAGGAAGAAGUUGCGAGGCUUGGAACUCUCCUUGUGAAGGGCUCAGGGACAGCAGUGAGGACAAUGCCUCUUUAGUUGUAAUUGUGAUACUCCUGAUCUGCAAGUAAACACUCCUGUGAUACUAAAUGUUGGUUGUUAGUACAGAGGUGAUGCCAUUAGUUGGUUCUUUGGUACUCCCUCUGUCCGGAAAAGCUUGUCCCUCGAAUGGAUGUAUCUAGCACCAAGUUAGUGCUAGAUACAUGGUGCUAGAUACAUCCAUUUGAGAAACAAGCUUGGGACAAGCUUUUUUGGACGGAGGGAGUAUUGAUUUCAUGAUUUGUGGUUAAUACAUGAUGUAAUACAAUCUACACUGCAUUAUAUUUCCAGUUACAUAUCUUA